rnacentral:rRNA from 1 species
CCUACGGGAGGCAGCAGUGAGGAAUAUUGGUCAAUGGCCGGAAGGCUGAACCAGCCAUGCCGCGUGAAGGUCAGUGCCCUAUGGGCGUUAAACUUCUUUUGUGCGGGAGCAAUAAUGGUCACGUGUGGCCAGACGAGAGUACCGUACGAAUAAGCAUCGGCUAACUCCGUGCCAGCAGCCGCGUUAAUACGGGGGAUGCAAGCGUUAUCCGGAGUUAUUGGGUUUAAAGGGUGCGUAGGCUGUGAGGUAAGUCAGCGGUGAAAUGCCCCCGCUCAACGGGGUGAAGUGCCAUUGAUACUGCCUGGCUGGAAUGCGGAUGCCGGGGGAGGAAUGUGUGGUGUAGCGGUGAAAUGCAUAGAUAUCACACAGAACACCGAUUGCGAAGGCAUCUCACGAAUCCGCGAUUGACGCUGAUGCACGAAAGCGUGGGUAUCAAACAGGAUUAGAUACCCGAGUAGUC